rnacentral:rRNA from 1 species
UACAGAGGUCUCAAGCGUUGUUCGGAUUCAUUGGGCGUAAAGGGUGCGUAGGCGGCGCGGUAAGUCGGGUGUGAAAUCUCGGAGCUUAACUCCGAAACUGCAUUCGAUACUGCCGUGCUUGAGGACUGGAGAGGAGACUGGAAUUUACGGUGUAGCGGUGAAAUGCGUAGAUAUCGUAAGGAAGACCAGUGCGAAGGCGGGUCGUCUGGGCCGAUACUGACGGCUGAGGAGCGAAAGCGUGGGGAGCGAACAGG